UGGGGAAUAUUGCACAAUGGGCGCAAGCCUGAUGCAGCCAUGCCGCGUGUGUGAAGAAGGCCUUCGGGUUGUAAAGCACUUUCAGCGAGGAGGAAGGUGGUGAACUUAAUACGUUCAUCAAUUGACGUUACUCGCAGAAGAAGCACCGGCUAACUCCGUGCCAGCAGCCGCGGUAAUACGGAGGGUGCAAGCGUUAAUCGGAAUUACUGGGCGUAAAGCGCACGCAGGCGGUUUGUUAAGUCAGAUGUGAAAUCCCCGGGCUCAACCUGGGAACUGCAUUUGAAACUGGCAAGCUAGAGUCUCGUAGAGGGGGGUAGAAUUCCAGGUGUAGCGGUGAAAUGCGUAGAGAUCUGGAGGAGUACCGGUGGCGAAGGCGGCCCCCUGGACGAAGACUGACGCUCAGGUGCGAAAGCGUGGGGAGCAAACAGAUUAGAUACCCUGGUAGUCCACGCUGUAAACGAUGUCGAUUUUGGAGGUUGUGCCCUUGAGGCGUGGNUUCCGGAGCUAACG
rnacentral:rRNA from 1 species